UGGUAACGUAUCUGGAAAGUGUCUACACUUUGGAUUAAAAUCCACUGAUUGCCGGAAGUGCAAUUAUAUCGAUGAAAAGGGUGAUGCCAGAGACGAACAUGACUGCCGACGAAAUUAUUUUGGAAGCUCGAAGGCAAUGGAACCAGCAUUAGCUGUUGAAAUGGUUAAGGACAUAGAGGAAAUGGGAUACAUGGUAAAUUCAUUGACAAUGGACGAUGACACCACUACAAUGGCAAGGUUGCGCCAAGAAGUUGACCAUGAUGUCAUUAAACGCAGUGAUUCCAACCAUUUUCGUAAAAACUUUACAGGAAAUCUCCUACAGUUGCACCAAAAACACAAAAGAAACAUAUCUACAUCUGUAAUAGAUUAUUUUGUAAAGGACAUGCUGUACGCAAUUAAACAAAAUAAAGGGGAUGUUGAAAA